rnacentral:rRNA from 1 species
AUGGACGAAGAGUUUGAGGAACAUGAUUUUUCUGAUGGAGCGGUCGGUGAGGGAGAGCAUGCACUUGAUCCGACAGAAGAACAUCAGCCAGUUAUUACUUCUCGGUUGUCAGUUAAGCGUGUUGUAGAGAUGGUUGCAAAAUUUUACGAAUACAAGAGAUGGCUUGUAACCGAAAUUGGUUUUGGUGCAAUUCUGAAGCUCCCAAUGCUUGUCAAGUUGGACCUGAGGAUGAGUGCUUGGGUUAUGAGGAAGGUGAAUGCUCGGUGUCGUGCAAUCGUCAUUGAUAAUGACAAUACGAUUGGUUUCACAGCAGAAGAUUUCCACAAGGUUUUUGGCAUCCCAUGCGGGAAUCGAGAUGUGGGUGGCAGGGAUGCACAAAUUUCUCAAUCUGCAAUCAAUUUCAUCAAGCAGUCAAUUGGGAUGGACAGUACAGUUGCUCAUAAUCUGAAGGCGGCUGAAGGUUUUAUAAGUAGAGAUAUUUCAGAGGAUUCGAGUAAAAUUGAAAAGGAUUGUUUUCAAAUUGCAUUCGUCAUCUUUGUCAUGGGCUAUUUGAUAGCACCGUGUACCAAGCAUGACACCAUGACCAUUGAUUUCUGGGGUGCUCUGGCUAAUCCAGAAUUGAUCCCGCAGUUCAAUUGGUGUGAGUAUGCUAUGCAGAAAUUGAUGUCAGCUGUUGUGAAGUUGCAGAAUGAUUAUCAAAGCAAAGAAGCAACGGUUCAUAUGUUUGCGUGCCACCUUUUUUUCCAGGUGAACACAUUUUUUAGGUUUUCAUAG